rnacentral:lncRNA from 1 species
GGCAGGAUCUAUGGGUCAGGAUCUAUGGGGCUGGGAUCUAUGGGGCAGGAUCUAUGGGGCGGGAUCUAUGGGGCAGGAUCUAUGGGGUUUGGAUCUAUGGGGCUGGGAUCUAUGGGGCAGGGAUCUUUGUGAAUCUAUGGGGCAGGAUCUAUGGGGCUGAGAUCUCUGGGAUUUCUGGGAUCUAUGGAGCUGGAUCUAUGGGUCGGGAUCUAUGGGUCCGGAUCUAUGGGUCAGGAUCUAUGGGUCCGGAUCUAUGGGGCUGGGAUCUAUGGGGCAGGGAUCUAUGGGUAUCUAUGGGGCUGGGAUCUAUGGGUCCGGAUCUAUGGGUCCGGAUCUAUGGGGCUGGGAUCUAUGGGGCAGGGCCGGGCGGUUCUGGCCGUGUCUCGCUGUGGGGCAGCGACCUCCUGGGACGGGGCCGGGCGGCCCCGGGGUCACCUCCGGGGUCACCUCCGGGCGCCGGCCAACGGCGACGUCGCCCCCCCGGGUAAGGCCCUAAUUAAUUAAUUAAUUAAUUAAUUAGUUAAUUAAUUAGUUAAUUAGUUAAUUAAUUAAUGACCCCACCCCCCAAAGGGGCCCCCCGGGCGCUGGUGGCGGUGACGGGGAGCGACGGGCGGACCCGGCUCUGGCACCCGCUGGAGGUGGGUUAAUUAAGCUAAUUAGUUAAUUAAUUAGGGGUAAUUAGUUAAUUAAGGGGGUGAUUAGGUAAUUAAGGGGGUGAUUAGGUAAUUAGGGAGGGUGAUUAGCCCGAUUGAUGGGGAAUUGGGGGGGAAAAGUGGGAGAUUUGGGGGGUUAAUUGAUUAAUUAAGGGGGUUAAUUAAUUAAUUAAGGGGUAAUUAAUUAAUUAAGGGGGUGGUUAAUUAAUUGGAGAUGAUAAUUAUUUAAUUAAGGGGGUUGGAAG